AGAGUUUGAUCAUGGCUCAGAACGAACGCUGGCGGCAUGCCUAACACAUGCAAGUCGAACGGGAUCCUGGCUUCGGCCAGGUGAGAGUGGCGGACGGGUGAGUAACGCGCGGGAACCUGCCCAGUGGUGGGGGAUAACUGCGGGAAACUGCAGCUAAUACCGCAUGAGCCCGAGAGGGGAAAGAUUUAUCGCCAUUGGAGGGGCCCGCGUUCGAUUAGGUAGUUGGUGAGGUAACGGCUCACCAAGCCUACGAUCGAUAGCUGGUCUGAGAGGAUGAUCAGCCACACUGGGACUGAGAUACGGCCCAGACUCCUACGGGAGGCAGCAGUGGGGAAUAUUGGACAAUGGGGGCAACCCUGAUCCAGCAAUGCCGCGUGAGUGAUGAAGGCCUUCGGGUUGUAAAGCUCUUUUGGCGGGGACGAUGAUGACGGUACCCGCAGAAUAG
rnacentral:rRNA from 1 species